rnacentral:rRNA from 2 species
UGGUAAUGCCGGAUGUUCCAGUUGAUCGCAUGGUCUUCUGGGAAAGCUUUCGCGGUAUGGGAUGGGGUCGCGUCCUAUCAGCUUGACGGCGGGGUAACGGCCCACCGUGGCUUCGACGGGUAGCCGGCCUGAGAGGGCGACCGGCCACAUUGGGACUGAGAUACGGCCCAGACUCCUACGGGAGGCAGCAGUGGGGAAUAUUGCACAAUGGGCGCAAGCCUGAUGCAGCGACGCCGCGUGAGGGAUGGAGGCCUUCGGGUUGUAAACCUCUUUUAUCGGGGAGCAAGCGAGAGUGAGUUUACCCGUUGAAUAAGCACCGGCUAACUACGUGCCAGCAGCCGCGGUAAUACGUAGGGUGCAAGCGUUAUCCGGAAUUAUUGGGCGUAAAGGGCUCGUAGGCGGUUCGUCGCGUCCGGUGUGAAAGUCCAUCGCUUAACGGUGGAUCCGCGCCGGGUACGGGCGGGCUUGAGUGCGGUAGGGGAGACUGGAAUUCCCGGUGUAACGGUGGAAUGUGUAGAUAUC